rnacentral:rRNA from 1 species
UGGGCAACCUGCCCUCAGCUCUGGGAUAACUCCGGGAAACCGGGGCUGAUACCGGAUAUGACCACUCCUGGCAUCUGGGGUGGUGGAAAGUUCUUCGGCUGAGGAUGGGCCCGCGGCCUAUCAGCUUGUUGGUGGGGUUACGGCCCACCAAGGCGACGACGGGUAGCCGGCCUGAGAGGGCGACCGGCCACACUGGGACUGAGACACGGCCCAGACUCCUACGGGAGGCA